ACGGAGGGUGCAAGCGUUAUUCGGAUUUAUUGGGCGUAAAGGGCGCGUAGGCGGCUUUUUAAGUCAGAUGUGAAAUCCCGUGGCUUAACUACGGAAGUGCAUUUGAAACUGGGAGGCUUGAGUAUGGGAGAGGGAAACGGAAUUCCUGGUGUAGCGGUGAAAUGCGUAGAUAUCAGGAGGAACACCUGUGGCGAAGGCGACUUGCUGGACUGCAACUGACGUUGAGAUGCGAAAGCUAGGGGAGCAAACGG
rnacentral:rRNA from 1 species